GCAUAUGGUGACUGUGUGUGGGGCAUCUUCGGAUGCGCCGGGUUAGUGAGACCGGUCCGUCAACCUGCGCACAGUUGCCACCCAU
rnacentral:antisense_RNA from 1 species